GACGAACGCUGGCGGCGUGCUUAACACAUGCAAGUCGAACGGUGAAGCGCCUUCCUUUUUGGUGGGUGUGGAUGAGUGGCGAACGGGUGAGUAACACGUGAGUAACCUGCCCCCUUCUUCUGGAUAACCGCAUGAAAGUGUGGCUAAUACGGGAUAUUCUGGGUCUGUCGCAUGAUGGGUCUGGGAAAGAUAUUGUUUCGGUGGGGGAUGGGCUCGCGGCUUAUCAGCUUGUUGGUGGGGUGAUGGCCUACCAAGGCGGUGACGGGUAGCCGGCCUGAGAGGGUGGACGGUCACACUGGGACUGAGACACGGACCAGACUCCUACGGGAGGCAGCAGUGGGGAAUAUUGCACAAUGGGCGCAAGCCUGAUGCAGCGACGCCGCGUGAGGGAUGGAGGCCUGCGGGUUGUGAACCUCUUUCGCCAGUGAAGCAGGCCUGCCUCGUUUGUGGGUGGGUUGACGGUAGCUGGAUAAGAAGCGCCGGCUAACUACGUG
rnacentral:rRNA from 1 species